rfam:Trichuris trichiura, WGS project CBXK01000000 data, contig: TTRE_940
AUACUUACCUGGCAGGGAAGAAGCAGUGAUCAUGAAGGCUGCUCUUCCAGGGUGAGGCUGGCUCAUUGCACUCCGAGGCAGCUGACCUCUGGGGCCAUCCCGUGCGGGAUGAGCUCACUGCGUAAUUUUUGAGUGAGGGAGUCUGCGUUCGCGCGGCUCCCGA